AGUGAAUAAUUAAACGGCCGCGGUACCCUAACCGUGCAAAGGUAGCAUAAUCAUUUGUCUAUUAAUUGUAGACCAGCAUGAAAGGCAAAAUGAGGGUUUAACUGUCUCUUAUAGUAAAUCAAUUAAACUGAUCUCCUAGUAAAAAAGCUAGAAUAUUCCCAUAAGACCAGAAGACCCUGUGAAGCUUAAACUAAACUACUAAACCACAUAGUAACUACUUUCGGUUGGGGCGACCUUGGAAAAAAAAAGAACUUCCAAACCAAUGACCAUAAAUCACUACAUUAGGCCCACAAGCCACCACCUGACCCAGCACAGCUGAUAAUUGAACCAAGUUACUCCAGGGAUAACAGCGCCAUCUUCUUCAAGAGUCCAUAUCAAAAAGAAGGUUUACGACCUCGAUGUUGGAUCAGGACAUCCUAA
rnacentral:rRNA from 1 species